rnacentral:lncRNA from 1 species
ACAAGGGAUAAUGGCUUUCAACUUAAAGUAGAUUCAGAUUCGGUAUAAGGAAAAAGUUCUCAGAGGAGAGUGAGGCCCUGGCACAGGCUACCCAGAGAAGCCUCAGCUGCCCAAUCCCUGAAGGCUGGAUGGGGGCCUGGGCAGUCUGAUCUGGUGGGUGACAGCCUGGCCCAUGGCAGGGGUAUGGAUUUGGUUGUGCUUAAGUUCCCUGCCAAUCCCAACAAUUCUAUGAUAUUCCUUUCUGACUGAAGAGAAUUAUAUUUUCAAAGCACAAUUUUGAUAUAUUACAAAUUCUUAGUUUAGGAUAAAAUGAAAUGUAACCCCUAAUAUAACCCACAUACCUAUACAUUCCCAGAUAUCUCCAUCAAUAGGACAGUAAUGUUAGGAUUAUUAGUUUGUUACGGAUGUCCAGAUUAUUAAUUGAAUUCCAUCCUUUAUAGAUUUUUUUGUGCAGACUGAGAAAUGGAUUGAUACUUUCAUUAAUGACUAAACUAACCUCUCGAUGUAUCCAUACUAUUUACUUUACUAAUCUGUUCUCUCAAGACAAACCAAAGUAUGGAAGAUUGGAAGGAAAAACUCAUGUCCACACCACCUAUACAUAGGAAAGAUUUGCAUUUAACGCAAGAUUUAAUCUCUAAGCAAGAUAUUUCUCAUAAGGACUGUCAUCUGAAUGCCAUGGAUGAUAACAUAGUUUUCAAUCUGUACUUCAGCUGGGUUGUCCUGCUCUUCCUCUGAAUUACCUGGAUCAACUGGAUACGAUCCUGCUCUUUCAGCUGACAAGAUGUCCUAUCACAUCUGGCUCCUACAUUUCAGGAGGAAGACCAUGUGUCUUAAAGAUCCCUGUGAUAAGAGCUCAAAUUAGUUGAGAAUUCAGUAGGAAGAGGAAGCAACCAGGCCUUGAGGAUGCCCUUUGCCAUAGUACUUGUAUUUCUGGAUCCACACCUUACACAUCCUCUGUACUUGAGCAAUGAAAAAUGUCAAUUUACACUGCGAGUCAUAAUUUAAAAAGAUUAUAUAAAGUAAAUUCGAACUGAACUACAAUGGUCUUAAAAGCAAAGAGUUAAAUAAAGAAAUAACUGCUUCAGAUACA